rnacentral:rRNA from 1 species
AGCGUAACAAGGUUUCCGUAGGUGAACCUGCGGAAGGAUCAUUACAGUAUUCUUUUGCCAGCGCUUAACUGCGCGGCGAAAAACCUUACACACAGUGUCUUUUUGAUACAGAACUCUUGCUUUGGUUUGGCCUAGAGAUAGGUUGGGCCAGAGGUUUAACAAAACACAAUUUAAUUAUUUUUACAGUUAGUCAAAUUUUGAAUUAAUCUUCAAAACUUUCAACAACGGAUCUCUUGGUUCUCGCAUCGAUGAAGAACGCAGCGAAAUGCGAUAAGUAAUAUGAAUUGCAGAUUUUCGUGAAUCAUCGAAUCUUUGAACGCACAUUGCGCCCUCUGGUAUUCCAGAGGGCAUGCCUGUUUGAGCGUCAUUUCUCUCUCAAACCCCCGGGUUUGGUAUUGAGUGAUACUCUUAGUCGGACUAGGCGUUUGCUUGAAAAGUAUUGGCAUGGGUAGUACUGGAUAGUGCUGUCGACCUCUCAAUGUAUUAGGUUUAUCCAACUCGUUGAAUGGUGUGGCGGGAUAUUUCUGGUAUUGUUGGCCCGGCCUUACAACAACCAAACAAGUUUGACCUCAAAUCAGGUAGGAAUACCCGCUGAACUUAAGCAUAUCAAAAGCCCCGGAGGAA